CACGUAGGGCGCGAGCGUUGUCCGGAAUUAUUGGGCGUAAAGAGCUCGUAGGCGGUCUGCUAAGUUUGGAGUGACAGUUGGUGGCUUAACUGCCAAAGUGCUUCGAAAACUGACAGACUUGAGGGCUUCAGAGGGACACGGAAUUCCGGGUGGAGUGGUGAAAUGCGUAGAGAUCCGGAGGAACACCAAAGGCGAAGGCAGUGUCCUGGGGAGUACCUGACGCUCAGGUGCGAAAGCCAGGGGAGCGAACGGG
rnacentral:rRNA from 1 species